AAAAGUCGUAACAAGGUUUCCGUAGGUGAACCUGCGGAAGGAUCAUUACCUUUUAUCGGGGAGCUGUAGUUUACUAUAUGCUCCUGUCUGGACCCAUGUCUAUUGCGUACUUAUGUUUCCUCGGCGGACUUGUUCCGCCGAUUGGACUCUUCAAAACCUUUUGUAAUUGUAGUCAGCGUCUGAAAAAUAUUUAAUAUUUACAACUUUCAACAACGGAUCUCUUGGUUCUGG
rnacentral:misc_RNA from 1 species